rnacentral:rRNA from 1 species
UACGGGGGGGGCAAGCGUUGUUCGGAAUUAUUGGGCGUAAAGCGCGCGCAGGCGGUCCUUUAAGUCUGAUGUGAAAGCCCACGGCUCAACCGUGGAGGGUCAUUGGAAACUGCGGGGCUAGAGUGCAGAAGGGGCAACUGGAAUUCUCGGUGUAGCGGUGAAAUGCGUAGAUAUCGAGAGGAACACCUGCGGCGAAGGCGGGUUGCUGGGCUGACACUGACGCUGAAACACGAAGGCCAGGGGAGCAAACGGG